rfam:Gorilla gorilla gorilla genomic chromosome, chr4, whole genome shotgun sequence
GCUGGGCGUGGUGGCUCACACCUGUAAUCCCAGCACUUUGGGAGGCUGAGGCGGGUGGAUCACCUGAGGUCGGGAGUUCGAGACCAGCCUGACCAACAUGGAGAAACCCCGUCUCUA